GAGUGAGAGGUGCAGACAGCUAAGGGAAUGAAUGACAGCUGUCUGAUGAGAGAACUAACAAAAAAUGCCCAGAUUUACAGCAGAAGAGCUGAGGAGUAAACACUUGGCGACCAGAAUAACAGCCAGGGCGUUUCCAGCCAAACUGUAAACUGCAAAGUCUGUCAGCAUCCAAUCGGCAUUAAACUGUGGUGGAGCACCCGAGGUCACUCUGAAACAAAAAUAGGAGGGCUAGUUCCGUGGACCAGGAGAGUGUGUGCUUAGAUUCAAAGCUUGAGAUCCACCAUAGGCCUGCUAUUGUUCUUUAUUUUCUAAAAAUGUUUCAGUCCAAACAAGAACACAGACCCUGGCCUAGUGUCUGGCAAAGAUACCCUCCACAGCUGAGAGGAGUUCAUCGUGGACUUCUCAAGAACAUUAAUCAAAGCAGAUAUAUAGCUCUUGAAAAGGGGCCCAAGUUCUCCACAUUUCUGAAGAAACACGGCAAGCAUCUAAGCAUUUAUUCACAUAAGCCAUGUUACAAAAUAAUGUUUCUACCCUAGAGGCAAAAAAGCUUUCCGCAGAAUUUCAGCAGAAAUCGCCGCAGAAAAUAUAAGAAAUCCCCGCAGAUUCCGUUUGGUUAUGAUCAAAAGCUAGCAAGAAAUCAGCAGCAGCUAAGGCCAGGGUCAACAACGUUACUAUACAACUGAUGAAAACCAUUACAAAUGACAUAGUUUCAAAAUAAUAUAACGUUAUUCAUAUCAGAGGCAAGAACUGCAAUUUAGUUUUUUGUAGCUAGAUUACAAAUGAAGAAAUCGACGACAUACAUACCUCUGUACUUCCUGUUGGUAUCUUCUGUUGUUAUGGAAACGAGACGCCAAACAUUGACGAAAAGUGUACACCAAACCAGAGAGAAUACAAAUAGGAAUCCCAUUGGGCAAUGAAUGGAGGAACAUAUAACGGUCUAUCUAGCAGACUGUAGACCAAUCGGGUUCACGUUGUCAUGUUUUGUCACGUAGUUGCUAAACUAAUCGUCAUGCAAUCCCUUCUCAAAGUCAGGGUAUGAGUCGAGAAACCUCCCUAUUUUCCUCGAAAGUACAUAAGGUCACAAUUCCAAAGCAAUACGGUAUUACAAGAGAACGAGUUAAUUAUCUCACAUCUCGGAAAAUGUGUAAUGUUGUAGUUCUUGUUGACGAAAUUAAUGCUAAUAUUGGGUUUUUGAUCUGGCACCCAGUUUGACUCCCAUUCACUAUUUGAAGGACAGCACUCCUUGUCCAAUUUGUAAGUCGCUCUGGAUAAGAGCGUCUGCUAAAUGACUUAAAUGUAAUGUAAAUGUCCUAUCGUGAGCAAGGUACAUUAAUAUGAUUCCAAAGGAGUUUCCCCAACUCCUCAAAAGUACCGACUCUGAGUAUCUCUGACCAAACUCUGUGGGUUGCACCUCCGUCACUAUUGUCGCGAGAUUGCCAUUGUUGUCAACGUUCUAAAGACGCCUCUGCCAUAUUCAUGCUCAAAAGUAGAACGGGGCUAAUGACUUUGAACUACGGAAUGCCGGUUGGGUCUUUUUGUGUCAAAAAAUAUACACAUCAAAUAGCACAACAUAUUUUUUUCCCCCCUUAUUUUUUAAAUGAUUUUUUAUUAACAACAAAUCAAUACAGGAAGUAGAUGUGGGAACACAAGUCACUUGAGUGGGUUGAGUCACUGACGUGAUCUUCCUGUCUGGGUUGGUGCCCCCAACAGUAGUUUGUGUCAGGGGGCUAAGGUCAGUCUGUUAUAUCUCCUGUCUUAUCCGGUGUCCUGUGUGAAUUUAAGUAUGAUCUCUCUAAUUCUUUCUUUCUCUCUCUCUUGGAGGACCUGAGCCCUAUGACCAUGCCUCAGGACUACCUGGCCUGAUGACUCCUUACAGUCCCCAGUCCACCUGGCCGUGCUGCUGCUCCAGUUUCAACUGUUCUGCCUGCGGCUAUGGAACCCUGACCUGUUCAAGGGACAUGCUACCUGUCCCAGACCUGCUGUUUUCAACUCUCUAGAGACAGCAGGAGCGGUAGAGAUACUCUGAAUGAUCGGCUAUGAAAAGCCAACUGACAUUUACUCCUGAGGUGCUGACCUGUUGCACCCUCGACAACCACUGUGAUUAUUAUUAUUUGACCCUGCUGGUCAACAUUUGAACAUCUUGGCCAUGUUAUGUUAUAAUCUCCACCCGGCACAGCCAGAAGAGGACUGGCCACCCCUCAUAGCCUGGUUCCUCUCUAGGUUUCUUCCAAGGUUUUGGCCUUUCUAGGGAGUUUUUCCUAGCCACCGUGCUUCUACACCUGCAUUGCUUGCUGUUUGGGGGUUUAGGCUGGGUUUCUGUACAGCACUUUGAGAUAUCAGCUGAUGUACGAAGGGCUUUAUAAAUAAAUUAGAUUUGAUGUAUAUAUAAAUAAUAUUCAAAGGACAAUUGGGCUAGGAGGUACAAUAUCACAUUACACAAGGACCUUAAGGGACAUACACUUAUUAUUCUAACAGCUUUUUUAUUAGUAGAAUAUUUAAUUGUGUUAAAAUACAGUUCAAUUUCUUUUUGUAAGAUAAGAAAAUGUGUUUUGUUUGUAAAUUUACAUUUGUGAAUAUGAAAUUUGGCCAAAACCAUAAUUAAAUGAUUUACGUAAAAAUGUUUCAGCUUAUUUCUAUCGUAGGUAAAGAAUCCAAGCAGUACAUCUCUCCACAAUAGUGUAAGAUAUUCAUAAAUGUAUUAAAUUAUAAAUCUA